UUAAAUACAAGCAAGGACGUAUACGCCCUUGAUACAAGCCAGGAGGAUCAGGAGAUAAUAUUACAUGAAUGGCCGGCUGCAGCUGGCAGUGACAAAAAUAUGGACAAGAGUGCUUCGUUGAGAGUCGAAAGAAGUGUCUCUCUCAACCCUAUCACAUUCUUUCUUAGAUUCCGCAGUGCCAGGAUCCUUACAGUGGAGCCUGUAAUCUUUUUGUACAUGUUUGGUAGUAACUUGUACUUUCCUCUGUAUCAGCAAUACUUUUUCAACCAGUUUGCAAAAAAUGUGAUUGGAAAUUCCUCCGAGUUACCCAACAGCACGUAUUACUGCCUUACCAGUAACCUCACAGACGAGUAUGGUGGAAAAGGAACGUAUGUGGAAGUGGAGACGUUAUCCUCACACUUAAAUAUUUAUGUUUCUUUAUGCAACCAAAUUCCAUCAAUAAUUUUCACACUUCUCUAUGGCCCGUUAUCGGACAGAUUCGGUCGACGACUUGUAAUUGUCAUUGUUUCUUUGUCAGCCAUUACUCAAGGUAUGCUUUCAUUGGGAAUUGUCCACUGGAACCUAAGCGUGUAUCUGUUUAUGUUGAGUGGAGCAGUUGCUGGAGUGGGUGGUGAUUUUUCCUCUGUGCUUAUGGCUUCUUUUGCAUACAUUUCUGAUGUCAGCUCUUCAAAGUGGCUCACCUUUAGGAUGGGUGUAGUGGAGGCAAUGAUGUAUAUGGCUGGGGCAGUGGCGCUAGGUGCUGGUGGACUUUGGUUUAAGAUGCUCAACUGUAACUUUAUCCCACCAAUCAUGGUGUUCAUUGCCUGCCAUGUUCUUAUUAUAGCGUAUGUAGUGCUGUUUUUGCCGAAAUCGCUCCCGAGGAAAGAGAGGGAAAGAAGAGCUCUAGACAGAUCUACUUGUUUUGAUUCUUUAAUUCGUGGAUCCAAGAUAUAUUUCUGUCAAAUCAAACAGUAUACAGUAUGGGUACUUUGGGCUGCUUUGAUAGCGUUUUUCUUCAUGGAAUUGACAUCAGAACGAAUUGCUGUUUAUUUUCUCAAAGCCAAGAAGCCUUUUGAUUGGGAUUCCUCAACAAUCGGUUAUUACCAAAUGACUGUGCAACUAUCACACAUGUUUGGACUGUUAAUAGUAUUGCCUGUACUGGUGGCAUUGAAGCUACCGGAUGCUCUGAUAUCUAUCAUAGGCUUAGGCUUUAAUGCUGGAAUGAACAUUUUCACUGGACUGGCAAACAAAACCUUUGAGAUGUUCAUUAUUGGUGUGAUACAAGGAGCGGAAGCUAUUGUGUUUCCACCGUUGAGGAGUAUCCAGUCUAAAGCAGUCGACAAGACAGAUCAAGGUGCACUGUUCUCCGUGGUAACAGCAGUAGAGAAUGGCGCUUCACUUGUCUCGGCUCUCAUCUUCCCAAUAGUUAUUCCUCUGGCCCUCCAGCAUGGCCUCUCUCCAGGAGUGGUCUACCUCCUCAUGGCAAGCUUGUGCAUCCUGCCACUGAUAUUAUUACUAUUGCUAGCUUGAUCAACAAUGCUGCACAAAACUUCGCUGAAAUAUGGUCACUCGCUAUUCCGUAUAACUGGUUUCUGCUCUUUUGUGGCGGCAGGAGAAGAAGCCGGACAAAGGUGCAGGACACCAGCACCCGGGGUAUCCCAGAUCCUCCCCCCUUUUCCACAAACAACCCGGAUAUUAUUUCCUCCUCUGAAACUAGCCCUUUGAUUUCAUCUAAAGAUAAAUGAUGAUUAGAACUAGAGCUCAUUAUUUUCAGUUUUUUGUUAUUCAUUUAAAAUUUAAUUGGGGUGAAUACUACCAUAAA